UUUCCUUUGCCAUGCCCUACCAUCAUGAUGUUUCUGCCUUGCUAAAGGGCUAAAAGCAAAGGAGCCAGCUGACCAUAAACUGAAGCAUCUAAAAUGGAACUGGCUCACCUGAUUAUGGAAGCUGAUGAGUCAAAAUCUGCAGAGCCUUUGUCUCAGACACAAAGGACACUGAAGAGAAAUGGAAGAAUUUCAAUAAGGAUUGGAAAGCAGGCAAGGAAAAGGAAGACCAAGCAGCAGGCAAGGCUUCAGCCCCCAGACCAGUCCAGAGAAGACUGACAGCCACUAUCACUGUACCUGGAUGAGCCAUCUGCACAGCUGCCAUCAUGCCUUACCUACUCUGGGAACUCAGCAUUGCCCAGGUCUUAGCUUAGUUGCUGCCUCUUCUGGGAAGCUUUCCCUGGUUCCUGUCCUCUUACAGAUCCGUUUGCCCACCCCGUCCUGACUUUGCUCACAGUUUAUCACAACAAUCCCAUCGGCAAUGAAACAACUCCCUGUGAUGGCAAUAGCAACGGUUUUCUUUCUUCAUGGUGUCUGCUACUGAACUGCCAGCUCUGAGAGAGCAGGAACCUUGGCUCUCUGUUCAUUCAGUAUCUGGUACAGGAGAUACUCAACAAAUGUUUGCCGAAUGAAUGUGACAUAGUUGAAAAAAUGAUUUUCUAAGUUAUUCAAUGAUUUAAAGAAUAUUUAUUGAGCCUCAUUUACUCAUGUAUAGUGAAUUGGUGUUGAAGUUUAUUACCUUCUUUUUUUAACCCCUUUGACAACUUCUUAAGUAUUUAUGUAGUAAAACACUCAGAGAAAUGAGGUGAUCAGCCCAGGGUCACAAAGUCAGGGUCUGGCAAGGGCAGACUGAGUCUCCUAAUUUCUAAAUCCAGUCUGUGUCUUUCUCACUGGAAAAAUGACUGACUCCCUCUCUCCCCAGCACUCCACAGUUUUCUCUUCAGUAUGAUGAAAAGGUUGAGCAAGACCCGUGGUUCUUAACCUCUGAGAAUUGAUGAAAGCUAUGAACGGUAACUCCAGGGAAAUGCAUAUAUGCACAGAAAAAUUUACACAUAAGUUCACAGGUUCAUGGACCCCAGUAAAACUCAGCUGCAGCCCUCAGGCUGGGAGGCCCUGAGCUCACCCAUCACGGAGGCCUUGCCACUAGCGUGAUCUCCGUAUGGUUUAUGACUCACCCACUGACAUCAGUUUUAUGAAGUGGCAACAUUUUCCCCCUCAUUGUUCAAAGUCUCACCCUCACCUCUUCUCCCCAGCCCAGCUGGGAAGAGUCCCUCCUGCUGUGAGACCCUAUUAGCCCCAAAGCUCCCUGGCCCUGCCAGACUGUGGACUGUCAUGCCGAGUCCUGGUCCUGAUUUAUUCUCUGCGAUGUCUCUCUGGAUGAGAAGUUGUGCAUAACAGCAGGACUCAGUCCCAAUUGAAGAAAUAACCAAGUUCAAUCCCUAACAAAUAAAAUCACUGCAGCUCGGUAACUCCUGUGGUUGAUGAAAAAUGUGAUUUCCUUCCUGUAGCAAAUAUGGAAGGCGGGAGAUGUAAAGAUGCUCCCACAUUGGCCUGUGGAAGAAACCCUAACAAUAUAAAUCAGUGAGAUAGAGAGUUUUCUCCUCCAUUCAUUAUCUGGGCAGGCCAGAGCUAAUGUGUUUGUUUGUUAAAUCCUGUUACCAGCCACUCUUUCCCUGCAGGAUGGCUUUUUAGAAAUACAUUAGGAACAUUUAAGCCAAGAAACAACUUUCAGCUCCUGAAAAUUAUGCUCAUUCUCCAAAAUUCAGGAUCUUGAAUACUAUGCUGGGAAUUUUACCCUGAAGGUGUGACUCUUACCUAGGAGAAUCCAGGGACAAGAGGCCUAGGGAAAGUGUUGGUGAAGGUGAUGGCACAGGGUCUCAUGU